GAUGAACGCUGGCGGCGUGCCUAAUACAUGCAAGUAGAACGCUGAAGGAAGGAGCUUGCUCUUUCCGGAUGAGUUGCGAACGGGUGAGUAACGCGUAGGUAACCUGCCUGGUAGCGGGGGAUAACUAUUGGAAACGAUAGCUAAUACCGCAUAACAGUAGAUGUUGCAUGAUAUCUACUUAAAAGGUGCAAUUGCACCACUACCAGAUGGACCUGCGUUGUAUUAGCUAGUUGGUGAGGUAAAGGCUCACCAAGGCGACGAUACAUAGCCGACCUGAGAGGGGGAUCGGCCACACUGGGACUGAGACACGGCCCAGACUCCUACGGGAGGCAGCAGUAGGGAAUCUUCGGCAAUGGACGGAAGUCUGACCGAGCAACGCCGCGGGAGGGAAGAAGGUUUUCGGAUCGUAAAGCUCUGUUGUAAGAGAAGAACGAGUGUGAGAGUGGAAAGUUCACACUGUGACGGUAUCUUACCAGAAAGGGACGGCUAACUACGUG
rnacentral:rRNA from 1 species